AUGCAUGUCUAAGCACAAGCUUAAAAAAAGUGAAGCCGCGAAUAGCUCAUUACAACAGCCAUUGUUUACUUGAUCUUGAAUUCCUACUUGGAUAACUGUGGUAAUUCUAGAGCUAAUACACGCAACCAGCUCUGACCUUUGGGAAAGAGUGCAUUUAUUAGAACAAAACCAAUCGGACUUCUGUCUGCCUGUUGGUGAAUCUGAAUAACUCAGCUGAUCGCACGGUCUUGCACCGGUGACGCAUCUUUCAAGUGUCUGCCUUAUCAACUGUUGAUGGUAGUUUACGCGACUACCAUGGUUGUAACGGGUAACGGAGAAUAAGGGUUCGACUCCGGAGAGGGAGCCUGAGAAACGGCUACCACAUCCAAGGAAGGCAGCAGGCGCGUAAAUUACCCACUCUCGGCACGAGGAGGUAGUGACGAAAAAUAACGAGACGGUUCUCAUUGAGGCCCGUUAUCGGAAUGAGUACAAUCCAAACCCUUUAACGAGGAUCUAUCAGAGGGCAAGUCUGGUGCCAGCAGCCGCGGUAAUUCCAGCUCUGAAGGUGUAUACCACCGUUGUUGCGGUUAAAACGCUCGUAGUUGGAUCUACGUUCGUGGGGUCGGUGCUCUCGACAGAGAGUUACUGGCUACCUGAACUGAUACAGCUGGUUGUCCCUUUGUGCCCUUUACUGGGUGCACUGGGUGGCUAGCAAGUUUACUUUGAAAAAAUUAGAGUGCUCAAAACAGGCGCGAGCCUGAAUAGUGGUGCAUGGAAUAAUGGAAUAGGAUCUUGGUCCUAUUUUGUUGGUUUUCGGGAGCCAAGAUAAUGAUUAAGAGGGACGGACGGGGGCAUUCGUAUUGCAGCGUUAGAGGUGAAAUUCUUGGAUCGUUGCAAGACGAACAACUGCGAAAGCAUUGCCAA
rnacentral:rRNA from 1 species